rnacentral:rRNA from 1 species
UACAGAGGUCUCAAGCGUUGUUCGGAUUCAUUGGGCGUAAAGGGUGCGUAGGUGGCCUGGUAAGUCGGAUGUGAAAUCCCGGGGCUCAACCCCGGAACUGCAUUCGAUACUGCUGAGCUAGAGUACUGGAGAGGAGAUUGGAAUUUACGGUGUAGCAGUGAAAUGCGUAGAUAUCGUAAGGAAGACCAGUGGCGAAGGCGGAUCUCUGGACAGUUACUGACACUGAGGCACGAAGGCCAGGGGAGCAAACGGG